rnacentral:rRNA from 1 species
ACGAGAUCCAUGAUGUAGCAAUACAUCGGAAGAUCUAGUGGCGAACGGGUGAGGAUCACGUGAGAAACCUGCCCCAGACUCUGGGAUAACAAUUGGAAACGAUUGCUAAUACCGGAUGACGUCGGAGAACCGCAUGGUUCACUGACGAAAGAUAUUUCGGUUUGGGAGGGUCUCGCGGCCUAUCAGCUUGUUGGUGGGGUAAUGGCCUACCAAGGCAACGACGGGUAGCUGGUCUGAGAGGAUGAUCAGCCACACUGGGACUGAGACACGGCCCAGACUCCUACGGGAGGCAGCAGUGGGGAAUCUUGCGCAAUGGGCGAAACCCUGACGCAGCAACGCCGCGUGCGGGAUGAAGGCCUUCGGGCUGUAAACCGCUUUCAGCAGGAACGAAAAUGACGGUACCUGCAGAAGAAGGAGCGGCCAACUACGUGC